rnacentral:rRNA from 1 species
UGAACGCUGGCGGUAGGCCUAACACAUGCAAGUCGAACGGCAGCACAGUAAGAGCUUGCUCUUACGGGUGGCGAGUGGCGGACGGGUGAGGAAUACAUCGGAAUCUACUUUUUCGUGGGGGAUAACGUAGGGAAACUUACGCUAAUACCGCAUACGACCUACGGGUGAAAGCAGGGGAUCUUCGGACCUUGCGCGAUUGAAUGAGCCGAUGUCGGAUUAGCUAGUUGGCGGGGUAAAGGCCCACCAAGGCGACGAUCCGUAGCUGGUCUGAGAGGAUGAUCAGCCACACUGGAACUGAGACACGGUCCAGACUCCUACGGGAGGCAGCAGUGGGGAAUAUUGGACAAUGGGCGGAAGCCUGAUCCAGCCAUACCGCGUGGGUGAAGAAGGCCUUCGGGUUGUAAAGCCCUUUUGUUGGGAAAGAAAAGCAGCAGGUUAAUACCCCGCUGUUCCGACGGUACCCAAAGAAUAAGCACCGGCUAACUUCGUG